rnacentral:rRNA from 1 species
GAUGAACGCUGGCGGCGUGCCUAAUACAUGCAAGUCGAGCGAACGGACGAGAAGCUUGCUUCUCUGAUGUUAGCGGCGGACGGGUGAGUAACACGUGGAUAACCUACCUAUAAGACUGGGGUAACUUCGGGAAACCGUAGCCAAUACCGGAUAAUAUUUUGAACCGCAUGGUUCAAAAGUGAAAGACGGUCUUGCUGUCACUUAUAGAUGGAUCCGCGCUGCAUUAGCUAGUUGGUAAGGUAACGGCUUACCAAGGCAACGAUGCAUAGCCGACCUGAGAGGGUGAUCGGCCACACUGGAACUGAGACACGGUCCAGACUCCUACGGGAGGCAGCAGUAGGGAAUCUUCCGCAAUGGGCGAAAGCCUGACGGAGCAACUCCGCGUGAGUGAUGAAGGUCUUCGGAUCGUAAAACUCUGUUAUUAGGGAAGAACAUAUGUGUAAGUAACUGUGCACAUCUUGACGGUACCUAAUCAGAAAGCCACGGCUAACUACGUG